rnacentral:lncRNA from 1 species
CGACUGGUGACCGGAUUCCACACACUUGGGAAUCCCCCAGGACGGAGCACCAGGGAGCAGGUGUCCCAAGAGCCCCCAGGGGAAGUUGAGCACGGAUCGGGCUUGGAGUCAGUCACCCAGAGCACAACUGAGGUGUGCUGGGCCCGCACCCUGGACCUGGGACCAUUCACAUCCUUGUGCAUUUGGGAGGAAGAUGGGUCCAGAGUGAACGGCUGCCUCCGAGCUGCUGCUGGGAGCCCAGGGUGGGUGACGAGGGCAGAUGUGCUGGGUCUGUCUGUCUGUCCUUCUAUUGUCCGUCUGUCUGUGUGUAUCUGGUUGUGUGCUCCUGGGGCCAGAGCGGGGGUCCGGCUGGCCCUGGAGGGCGGAGGAGGAUGGAGAGGUGACCUCAUCUCCUGGACUGAGGUCCCCACCGCGGCCCACAGGCAGCGCCGUCCCCAGGGGCUGUCCCCAGCUUGCAGGCGUCCCUGUCUGGCCGUGGCUGGCUGGCAAGGCCACACACAGGCACAGCGAACAGAGGUCUUUCUGAGACACAGGUUAAUUGUGUGCAGGCCGAGGAGUCCUGCCGAACGAGGGCUUUCCGGACUGCGCCAGGGAACACACGGAGAGGCGGAGACCCCGGCCCAGCCCCCGGCCGCUCAUUUCCUCGCCAGCUCUCCAGAAAUGCAGGCUGCUUUCAAAGCCUGGGGCUGCAGCCCGCCGGAGCAAGGGGUCGCUUCCGGGGUCAGCGGCUGGAUAAGCGGGUCAGUUUCAGCAGGAAACCAACAUUUAAGUGAUGCUGGCCAAAUCGACAGUCUAAAAGGUGGCUGCAACCUUUGCACAAGCCUGGGCUCUCUACCUCACUUUAUACCUCGGGAGUCCAAAAGUGGACAUUUAUCAAACAUAUGCACGUGCUGAAUGAAAUAAAUACAUACAUACCAAGCACCGUGGGAGCAGUUUCCAAAUCACUGUCAUUUGAAAUCUUCACAACUGGACAAAGGAGGCUUUAAAAAAUAUCAUUCUCAGCCAGGUAUGGUGUCGCAUGCCUGUAAUCCCAGCACUCGGGAGGCUGAGGCAGGAGGAUCCAUGAGUUCCAGGACAGCCUGGGCUACAUAGUGAGUUCAAGGCUGGCUUGAACUACAUAGUGAGACCCUGUCUCAAAAAAACAACCAACAACAACAACAACUAAAAAUCCUAGCUGGGGUGAGCACUGUAGGUUUGUAAAUCCAGCACCUAGGAGGCUGAGGCAGGAGGAUCUGCCAGUUGGAGUCUCACCUGAGCUACAUGGUGAGACACUCUCAAAACAAAAUAAAACAAAACAAAUAAUCUCAUUUAACAGAUAAGAACACUAAGUCUCAGAGGGGUGGAGAGUUGCUCAAGCUCAUUUGGCUGGAACUGUUGGGUAGGACUUGAUCUCUCCUCUGGCCCCCUCUGACCUCCCCAGUGGACAGGAAGACCCCUGGAGGGACACAGAGGAGAGAUCCACAGGGCUGCCUGCCUCCAGCGUUCCCCCUCCCUCACCUGGCUUCCAGGUCGGGAUGGGAGGAGGCUGUGGCCUCCCUCCGACCCCCAGAGCCACCCACCUCAGGUGCCAUUAAAGUUAAUUGUUUUUACUGCCAGUUUAACACAGCCUUGUAAAUCUUUUUAUGAUGUGGCCCGGGACACCGUGGCGUGCGCACCAUGUGAGACUAGAUGUUGUUUGAACACAGGACACUCUGGUCCCACAACGACCUAGCGGGUAUGGGGUGGCCUGGACUCUCCCCCCCGACCCGUAGCAUCAGGCCCUGACCCUCACUUGGAUGACAUUUUUCUCCCAGAUGAGACAGUGAUGGUCGGGAAGACCAAGCUCC